ensembl:bidirectional_promoter_lncRNA
GAGAGGGGGCUGUGGGUUGUAGCUCCUGGGUAAUAGGGUUGUGUGUUUGGCCAGAGAGAAGGUGAUUAAGCGGCCAGCUCUAGGAGUGCGAAAGAGGCGGGAGAUGGAGAUAAUAAAGGCCAGAGAAGAAAUGGGGUUUGCAGUGGAUUCCAGCCUGUGUUGUCUGGGGCCUGAUUUCAGUGACCCUAGCCCCGCUCACAGAGGCUGGAGGUGGACACCAGAUCCCUCGGAAUGGGAGUUACAGCUGGUUAUGAGCCACCAAGUGUGUGCAUGGAACUGAAUCUGGUUAAAAGCUGCAGGAGCGUCUGAGCGUCUGAGCCAUCUCUCCAGCCCUGGAUACUCAUGCUUCUCACGGUACUCUAUGACAACAAUCCCUAAUUCUUCAACUUUCCUGCCCCUUAGGUACUCUGCUCACUGUGCUGCAUUAUGAGAGCAACAGUUUAUAAAACAUGGGCCACUCCUUUUGGUUUUGCAUAUAUUGUUUUGGGUUAGUUGACUGCCGAUAGACUGAGCAAGUUUUGGUUUUGUGUUUGGUUGGUUGUUUUGUUUUUCUAGGUAGGGUAUCUUUGUGUAGUUCUGGCUGCUUUGGUAUUUGCAGUGUCAAAUCCACCUGCCUCUGUCUCUGUCUCCCAAGUGCUGGAAUUAAAGGUGUGCACCAUCACC